rnacentral:rRNA from 1 species
ACGAACGCUGGCGGCGUGCUUAACACCUGCAAGUCGAACGAAGAGCGAUGGAAGCUUGCUUCUAUCAAUCUUAGUGGCGAACGGGUGAGUAACGCGUAAUCAACCUGCCCUUCAGAGGGGGACAACAGUUGGAAACGACUGCUAAUACCGCAUACGAUCUAAUCUCGGCAUCGAGGAUAGAUGAAAGGUGGCCUCUACAUGUAAGCUAUCACUGAAGGAGGGGAUUGCGUCUGAUUAGCUAGUUGGAGGGGUAACGGCCCACCAAGGCGAUGAUCAGUAGCCGGUCUGGCAGGAUGAACGGCCACAUUGGGACUGAGACACGGCCCAGAAUCCUACGGGAGGCAGCAGUGGGGAAUCUUCCGCAAUGGACGAAAGUCUGACGGAGCAACGCCGCGUGAGCGAUGACGGCCUUCGGGUUGUAAAGCUCUGUUAAUCGGGACGAAAGGCCUUCUUGCGAAUAGUGAGAAGGAUUGACGGUACCGGAAUAGAAAGCCACGGCUAACUACGUG